rnacentral:rRNA from 1 species
UGAGGAAUUUUGCGCAAUGGGAGCAAUCCUGACGCAGCAACGCCGCGUGUGCGAAGAAGGCCUUCGGGUUGUAAAGCACUUUUUGAGAGGAUGAGGAAGGACGGUACUCUCAGAAUAAGUCUCGGCUAACUACGUGCCAGCAGCCGCGGUAAAACGUAGGAGGCGAGCGUUAUCCGGAUUUACUGGGCGUAAAGCGUGUGUAGGCGGUUUGAUAAGUUGGAUGUGAAAGCUCCUGGCUUAACUGGGAGAGGUCGUUCAAAACUAUCAGACUUGAGAGUGGUAGAGGGAGGUGGAAUUCCGCAUGUAGUGGUGAAAUGCGUAGAUAUGCGGAGGAACACCAGUGGCGAAAGCCGCCUCCUGGACAACUCAUGACACUCAGAGGCGACAGCUAAUGUAGAUAACGGAAUUAGAUAUCCAUGUCGGC